rnacentral:rRNA from 1 species
GAUGAACGCUGGCGGCGUGCCUAAUACAUGCAAGUCGAGCGAACAGACGAGGAGCUUGCUCCUCUGACGUUAGCGGCGGACGGGUGAGUAACACGUGGAUAACCUACCUAUAAGACUGGGAUAACUUCGGGAAACCGGAGCUAAUACCGGAUAAUAUAUUGAACCGCAUGGUUCAAUAGUGAAAGACGGUUUUGCUGUCACUUAUAGAUGGAUCCGCGCCGCAUUAGCUAGUUGGUAAGGUAACGGCUUACCACGGCAACGAUGCGUAGCCGACCUGAGAGGCGGAGAGCCCGCAUGAUAACUGAACCCGGUACACGGGUACUGCGGGCGGACCCAGUCGGCAAUGUUCGGCAAGAGGCGGGAAUAUUGCACAACGGGGGCACGUGUGAUACAGAGAUGCUCGGAUCGUGAAGCCCUCUUACUGGUGGAAAACAGAUGUCUCCGGUGAUGAGCACGUAGUGACGGUAACGAGUAAAAAAGCCCCGGCUAACCACGUG